rnacentral:rRNA from 1 species
AUUGGACGCUGGCGGCAGGCCUAACACAUGAAAGUCGAACGAGUGGCGGACUGGUGAGUAAUGUCUGGGAAACUGCCUGAUGGAGGUUGAUAACUACUUGAAACGGUAGCUAAUACCGCAUACCAUCGGCUUUGCACAUAUGGGAUUUGCUAGUAGUUGGGGUAAAGGCUCACCUAGGCGACGAUCCCUCGCUGGUCUGAGAGGAUGACCAGCCACCCUGGAACUGAGACACGGGCCAGACUCCUACGGGAGGCAGCAGUGGGGAAUAUUGCACAAUGGGCGCAAGCCUGAUGCAGCCAUGCCGCGGGUAUGAAGAAGGCCUUCGGGUUGUAAAGUACUUUCAGCGGGGAGGCGUUACCCGCAGAAGAAGCACCGGCUAACUCCGUGCCAGCAGCCGCGGUAAUAC